GUUCCCAAGGCAGGAGAACCCCAGAGGACGCGGAGGAAGCCCCCAGGACGCAGGUGGUGAAAGGAGAUCUGCAGGCUGUGUGAAGGACACUCACACCUUGACUUCCACAGUCCUCCUUCGCUUCUCAGCAGUUUUGGUGGCUCCAGACUCAGUGGCUCUCCUGCUCUCUCCAGCUCGCAGGUCUGUCCUUGGCUACAAAGGGCAAAGUGUGGCGCCUGGUGGUAGGGCCAGAGAGGAAUGAGCGUCGUCACCUCCCACAGGCACCGAGAGGUUUGGCUCCGUGGUUUUGUGCGGGAAGAAUUCCCCAGCCUUCUCUUUUGUUUUUCCCCCUUACUAGUAUUAUUUUCAGCUGUUUACCCCAUGAAGGAAAAAAAGUAUUUUCUUCAUUACUGCACCUGCUACCAAAGUGACUCAUUUACAGACUCAUUUUGGCAGAGGCUGCAGCAUCUGUUAUCAUUUUUACCUGGUCCCCAAGGGCAAAGCUUCUUACCUUGCUGGCUUCAAAAUAUUGUUGGCUGCAGAUCUGCCAUGCGCUACCCUCCGCUCUCAAGAACAGCCCGUUCCCUUUCUUCAGCGAGAUGUCCAGCCAUCAGGCUCAGAUUACCCAACAGAGAUGGGAGAUUGGUGCUGGCCCUGCACAGGAUGCCUCCAAGGAAGCCCUGUGGCGAGAAAUGUACCUAGCUCAACUUCCAUUCUGCUGCUGGCGCCUGCCCGUGUGACCUCCACGUUACAUGCGGGUCUCUGCCCUUGAAACUCCUGUAUACGUGUCCAAGUGCUGAGGCUUUCACUUUGCAGCAUAUUGCAAAUAUGUUUCAUUGAAAACAAAUAUUCGUCUACCAUGGAAUAGCUAACAUUCAGUUUAGUGUUCCAGUAUGUGGGUGACAGCUCACUUAGCCAGUCAUGCUCAGCCGGCCAGCAUUUGACCUCUUCCCUGCAGCUUUGUCCUCUUUUAGCUUCUGUGAUGUUGAGUUUUCCUGGACCUCUCCCUGCCUUUCUGAUGCCUUCUGUCUCCUCAGAACACACCUUUGCUUGUUCCCUCUGUCUGCCAAGUGUCUUCCCCAAUGCCUUGCUUCCUUCUUUCCUGUGUGCUCACUCUCUCAGGUGCCCCAGCUGUGUGUGGGUUGCGCCUGCAGCUUCCCGGGGACAUCUAGGAUGUCCUCUUCUCCUCUCAUCCUCAACUCCUCUGCCGCUGAGCUCCCAUUCCCAUUGUAAAGCCAGGAUUUCCAUCAGAGCAUCCCUGUUCUUCCCACCUUCCGGGGGCCAUCCAGAAACUUCAUGUGCAGAACAAUGGGAGACAGAAAGCACCCAGUAAGUGCGUGCUGAAUGAAUGAAUAAAUGCCGCCCACAGCCGAGAGGGACUUGUGCAUUGUGCACAUAUUAGAUCUAUUCUUGGAGCGAGUGCAUUUGCUGUCCUCUGAAGCCUUACACCUCUGUCUUCAGCCUGUGCUUGCCCCUGCCAUUCCAGGUUAGCAGAUCUGUUUUGUAGCCAGGGGUCUUGGUUCCUAACAGCAGAAAUCACUCUGCUCAGCUUACACGGAGAACAAAGGUACUGGAAGAGUGUGGGAUCGGGAAGACAUGGGGACCGAGGGUGCCGGGGUUAGAUUGCAGAUGGACACUGAAGGUCCAGAUGCAGGCACUGCAUUCAUUUCCACGGCCAUGCCAUACCCAUCGCACAUACCUGCUCCCUCCUCCCCACUCACUGGAGUCUCGUGAGCUGCAGCCAGCCCUGACUGCUGUGGAGGUCUUCCCUCAUCACUCCAGUCUGUGUCUCUUUCUUUUCUAUUUCCCAUUGCACCUCAUUUGUUUCUUCACAUAAGGAGCCCAUUUCUUAAGACAAGUCUUACACUUUUUAGAUCUACCCCCACCAGGCUGGGCAGAUGCUCCUGCCACGUCCCUCUCUGAGGUCUUCAUUGACCGACUGCACAGGGUGGCGUGGCUGAAGACCAGUCUCUAGGUGAGGCCCACAUGGCUAAUGACCCACCAACAUUGGUCUUUCCUUUCUCCAGAAAUGGAGCUGGGCCCUGGAGGCUUCAUUUUCCAGCCUUCCCUGUAGCUGGUUGUGACAUGUGGCUGUUAUCCUGAGGGCAAUGUCACUAGAAGCCUCUAUGAGUUUCUGGGGCUUCCGUAGCAAAGCCCCGCAGCCUGCAGGCUUAAACGACAGAAAUAUCUGUUCUCCCAGGUCUGGAGGCUGGAAGUCUGAGACCAAGGUGUCUGCAGGGCUGGGCUGGUUCCUCUCCUUCCUUACAGACAGGGUCUUUUCCUGGGUCAUCCCACUCUGUGUAUCUGUAUCCUAAUCUCCUCUCCGUAGUAUUGGUUUAGGACCCACUCCUAUGACCUCAUUUAACUUAAUCGCCUCUUCAGAGGCCCAAUCUGCAAAUACAGUCCCAUUCUGAGGUCCUGGGGUGAGGUUUUAACAUGGGACUCUUGCGGGGCAAAGCACUAACAAAGCACUCCGUGCUACUUCCAUAUUGCUGGCCUAAGAGAUCUUCCUGGAUUCCAGCUGCAGCCCUUGCUCCUGGCUGGAAUGGCAUCCACUGGGGUGUCCUUGGAAGCCACAAGGUCAAGACGGCAGAGGCUCCAUCCACUGAGCUCCGUCCACUACCCGCCAGCGGGUAUGCCCACCUCUGCCUGCUGCGCGAGUGGGAAGUGUCUUCUUUAUUCUUUGAGCUGUGCUUUCGUGGGGUCUCUUGUUGGAGGGGCCCCUCCUAGCCUAAUGAAAACACCAGGUGCAAACGGAAUAGGGAAAUGUUCACAGAAGUGCAGCUCAGGCUAACUGAAUUCAUUACCUGCUCUUCUCUGAGUACGCUGGGAGAGGCAGACGACAUUGUAAUGGCAAUGAUGCCCCCAAGCCAUCCGGGUCUCCAGUGAAUCCUGGAAAUAAAUUGAACUGGCAGGAGAACAUCAGACGGAAGGAAAUGCUUCACAGGAGCAAUCGUGGGUAUAUCUAAGCUUCCUGGAAAUGUGCUGGAAGUGAAGUUUUGUUUUCUCUUUUUCGCAUUCUCCAUAAUUAAAAUAUUAUGUUAAAAUAUUUUAGGCCAGGCGCGGUGGCUCAAGCCUGCAAUCCCAGCACUUUGGGAGGCCGAGACGGGUGGAUCCGAUGCAUCGCGCGAUCGAGACCCUGCCUGGGCG
ensembl:lincRNA